rnacentral:tRNA from 1 species
GUGGUGGUGGUUCAGUGGUAGAAUCCUUGCCUUCCGUGCAGGAGGCCCAGGUUCGAGUCCCAGACAAUGCA